CACGUAGGGGGCGAGCGUUGUCCGGAUUUAUUGGGCGUAAAGAGCUCGUAGGCGGCUCGGUAAGUCAGGUGUGAAAACUCUAGGCUCAACCUAGAGACGCCACCUGAUACUGCUGUGGCUAGAGUCCGGUAGGGGAGCAUGGAAUUCCUGGUGUAGCGGUGAAAUGCGCAGAUAUCGGGAAGAACACCCGUGGCUAAGGCGGCUCUCUAGUACGGUACUGACGCUGAGACGCGAAAGCGUGGGGAGCGAACAGG
rnacentral:rRNA from 1 species